GAGAUGGAAUUUAUAUAUGAAACAGACUACUGGCCUAGGUACAGAAGACAGUUUUUGGAACGUAUCCACAUAGAAGUGGAGAAGGCACUGCAAGGGAAACACCAAGAUAAUGCUAGCCAGAACAUAGCCCCUCCAUCUAAGCAGGUCUGUUUAACAGUAUCAUAUACAUUUGGCAGAAUAAAAUUUGCAAAGGAUGUAGGAAAGCUCAUGAGAAUAAGACGAGCAUAUCGAAGAAUGCCAAAUAUAUUUAAACAGCCUGAGGAAUGAGAAAGAUAAGAAAGGAGAUAUGGAGAAACCUGGUAUCUACAGAAUACUGUUGUAUCUUGAUGGGUAUCAAGAUACCCAUCAAAAAGCAGCAUAUUAUAGGCAUGACAAUGAGAACUCUGGAACAAAGGCUCAGGGAGCACAAGUGGGAU
rnacentral:lncRNA from 1 species